GGAGCCAUGGGAGAGUGGUUUAAUCUACCUCUUUGCUAAAGAGGCGGGGAGUAAUUUCCCCCGCUGGUUCGAAUCCAGCUGGCUCCG
rnacentral:tRNA from 1 species